rnacentral:rRNA from 1 species
UUUUAAUUUUCCCAAUGGGGGGGGGUUUAAUACCUAACCAAAGCGAUUGACCUGGCAAGAGAGGCUGUUAUCUAGAUGGUACGCUAAGAAUACGCACCGGCUAACUACGUGCCAGCAGCCGCGGUAAUACGUAGGGUGCAAGCGUUGUCCGGAAUUAUUGGGCGUAAAGAGCUCGUAGGCGGUUUGUCGCGUCUGCUGUGAAAACUGGAGGCUCAACCUCCAGCCUGCAGUGGGUACGGGCAGACUAGAGUGCGG